AGCCGUUGAAAAACAGAGUUGCGACACUCCCAUAGACCUCCAUAGGAACUUUGGAAUGCGGAAGUAACGCGUGUCGUGGAGCAGCCGAUAGUUCCAAACACUGAUAGUUCCAGCACUGAACCCCAUUCAUUUUCAGUGACUCUGAAGUUCGCUCGCUGGUCUGUCCAGCAGCAACAGGCUUGACUCAACUCCAGACCCGGCCUCCUCUGGGCUCUGACACAGGCUGUUUCCACCUGAAGUUAACAUGCAUUUUGGUCGAUCGGAUCAUAAGUGGACGACGGAGACACAUACAUGUUUACACCUGGUGUUUUAAUCCAUCUGUUUUGUCCUCUUUCAACCACUUCUGUCCUGAUUUCUUUGAGGGGGUGGGUAAAUGUAUGGGUUUUUACAGAUCUUUCAAUCUAAUGGACAAAAUAAGCUUAAGCAGUUUACAUAUGAACGCACCCAGAGAUGACAGGAAAACAUAUUGAGAGCAUCAGUGUUCGCUUCUGCUCUGACAGCCGUGAGACCAGCCGAAUGCUGUGAGUGUGUGUUAGAAAUCAGGAAUGGUGAGAGAACAUUGUGCUUGGUACGUUUUUCAUCUUUGAACCAAACUUUGGUCUUCAGCCAACAAAGUUUAAAUCCUGUCUGGCUCGAGUGCUUCCCAUAAUGUUUACACAUUAGGUCAGUAGAUGGAGAGUAGAGUAAACAUGAGCGUUUACACUACGAAAGCAGUCCGGUCGAAUGCAUUUGAGUCUACUUCUGGAAGUGGUUGAAAGUGGAUAAACUUAAACCGUUUUAGACCCUGUUUACACCUGUAUUUAAUGUUGUCCACUUGUGAUCCGAUCAGCCAAAACGCAUCUUAAUACCAGGUGGAAACAGGCCCACAGUCUGCUUCUGGCAGUGGAAUGCUCUCACCCAAAAAUUCAACAGGUCUCCAGAUCAUCCUACAGCUGCGCUGGAAGAAUGUAAUGGAUAUUGUGAACACUUAUAUUCCUUUUCUGGCCUGCUUUCUGCCAUCUUUCUCUCCCUGUAGGAAGUCAAAUGAGUUUCUUUGAAGACAGAACAUUCAAGGAAAAUUUACCUACCCUCUCCCUGGAUAUAAUAUAUAAUUAAAUGUUUUGUUGAA